rnacentral:lncRNA from 1 species
UAGGGACCCAUUUAUGUCAAAAUAUCAAAAGAAACUGCCCUGUGAAAUUUUCAUGAAAUUCCCGUGCUCGAACUUCAUUAUAUCUGAUCCGAUUCAGUCCCGAUUGCCCCAAAUAUGGUCGUGAUAAAAUUCAUAUAUCCAUAGGAACUCAUUUAUGUGAAAAUAUCAAAAAUAUCUGCCCGGUGAUAUUUUCAAAAAAUUUCCGUGUAC